UUGGUGUCUAAGAAGAGCAAUUGAAAAGUGAUUAUUUAAUUAGUUCUGUUAGCUGAUCUGGCCAAUCUAUUGGUGUCUAUAAAAAGCAACAAAGGGAUCCCAACCGAUCUCCACUUAUCUGGCCAAUUUGAAAGAUUGAGUCUAGAAUAAGGUUGCUUGGCAUUUUGAUUUAGUCUAUGCCAAUUAGAUCGGUCAUAUGAUGAUUGAUU
rnacentral:lncRNA from 1 species